rnacentral:rRNA from 1 species
AUUGAACGCUGGCGGCAGGCCUAACACAUGCAAGUCGAGCGAGCGGUGGACGGGUGAGUAAUGCCUGGGCAUUGCCCCGUCGAGGGGGAUAACGGUUGGAAACGACUGCUAAUACCGCAUACGGUUUGCUUUCCCAGGUGGGAUUAGCUAGUUGGUGAGGUAAUGGCUCACCAAGGCGACGAUCCCUCGCUGGUCUGAGGGGUUGAUCAGCAACACUGGAAUUGAGACACGGCCCAGCCUCCUACGGGAGGCAGCAGUGGGGAAUAUUGGAAAAUGGGGGAAACCCUGAUGCAGCCAUGCGGCGUGUGUGAAGAAGGCCUUCGGGUUGUAAAGCACGUUCAGCGAGGAGGCGUUACUAGCAGAAGAAGCACCGGCUAAUUCCGUGCCAGCAGCCGCGGUAAUA